rnacentral:rRNA from 1 species
AGGGAAUCUUCCGCAAUGGGCGAAAGCCUGACGGAGCAACGCCGCGUGAGUGAUGAAGGUCUUCGGAUCGUAAAACUCUGUUAUUAGGGAAGAACAUAUGUGUAAGUAACUGUGCACAUCUUGACGGUACCUAAUCAGAAAGCCAUGGCUAACUACGUGCCAGCAGCCGCGGUAAUACGUAGGUGGCAAGCGUUAUCCGGAAUUAUUGGGCGUAAAGCGCGCGUAGGCGGUUUUUUAAGUCUGAUGUGAAAGCCCACGGCUCAACCGUGGAGGGUCAUUGGAAACUGGAAAACUUGAGUGCAGAAGAGGAAAGUGGAAUUCCAUGUGUAGCGGUGAAAUGCGCAGAGAUAUGGAGGAACACCAGUGGCGAAGGCGACUUUCUGGUCUGUAACUGACGCUGAUGUGCGAAAGCGUGGGGAUCAAACAGGAUUAGAUACCCUGGUAGUCCACGCCGUAAACGAUGAGUGCUAAGUGUUAGGGGGUUUCCGCCCCUUAGUGCUGCAGCUAACGCAUUAAGCACUCCGCCUGGGGAGUACGACCGCAAGGUUG